rnacentral:rRNA from 1 species
GAUGAACGCUAGCUACAGGCUUAACACAUGCAAGUCGAGGGGUAACGAGAGGAAAGCUUGCUUUCCUUGUCGACGACCGGCGCACGGGUGAGUAACGCGUAUCCAACCUGCCCCCAACUAGGGAAUAACCUUGCGAAAGUAAGACUAAUACCCUAUAAUUUCCUCAGAUGACAUCUGACGAGGAAUAAAGAUUUAUCGGUUGUGGAUGGGGAUGCGUCUGAUUAGCUUGUUGGCGGGGUAACGGCCCACCAAGGCAACGAUCAGUAGGGGUUCUGAGAGCAAGGUCCGCCACAUUGGAGCUGAGGCACGGUCCAAACUCCUACGGGAGGCAGCAGUGAGGAAUAUUGGUCAAUGGGCGGAAGCCUGAACCAGCCAAGUAGCGUGCAGGAUGACGGCCCUAUGGGUUGUAAACUGCUUUUAUACAGGAAUAAAGUUAGCCACGUGUGGUUAUUUGUAGGUACUGUAUGAAUAAGGACCGGCUAAUUCCGUGCCAGCAGCCGCCGUAA